AUCAGUGUGUAUGUAGGCACCAGGUGUGCCCGCCAGGUUUAGAGAGUCGGGUCCAUUGUUGGAUCUGUCGGAUGAGCGCCAAGAUUUGGACCCUGCACAUUUGUGCUGCUGGAUGCAUUUCAGCGGUUCUUUACUGCAGCAUCUGUACGCUGUUGUGGCAGAUUAAGCACAACUCUUCGGCUUCUUCUUCGAGCGCCAGAGAACGUAGCGACCCGGUUGGCUGGAGCAAGUCACAUGGGCUACACGUCAACGUGACCCUUCAGAAUAAGAGA